rnacentral:rRNA from 1 species
GACGAACGCUGGCGGCGUGCUUAACACAUGCAAGUCGAACGGAAAGGCCCUGCUUUUGUCGCGUGCUCGAGUGGCGAACGGGUCAGUAACACGUGAGCAACCUGCCCUUGACUUUGAGAUAACUUCAGGAAACUGGAGCUAAUACCGGAUAGGAACUCCUGCUGCAUUGUGGGGGUUGGAAAGUUUCGGCGGUUGGGGAUGGACUCGGGGCUUAUCAGCUUGUUGGUGGGGUAGUGGCUUCCCAACGCAUUGGGGGGUAGCCGGGCUGAGAAGGUGACCGGCCAAGUCGGGAUUGAGAUGAGGCCCAGACUACUACGGUAGGCAGCAGUGCAGAAUAUUGCACAAUGGGCGGAAGCCUGAUGCAGCAACGCAGCGCGGGGGAUGACGGCCUUGGGGUUGGAUACCGCUUUCGUCUGUGACGAAGAGUGUGUGACGGUAAUGGGUAAAGAAGCAACGGCUAACUACGUG